UACACGCUGUGACUAGCAUAUCAAUAAGCGGAGGAAAAGAAACUAACAAGGAUUCCCUCAGUAACGGCGAGUGAAGCGGGAAGAGUUCAAAUUUGAAAUCUUGAAAGGUCACCUUUCACGAAUUGUAGUUUAAAGAAGUGUUUUCUGUUACGAUCGUAAUAUAAGUUCUUUGGAAUAGGACAUCACAGAGGGUGAGAAUCCCGUCUAUGAUUGCGAUUUGUAGCUUUGUGAUACACUUUCAAAGAGUCGGGUUGUUUGGGAAUGCAGCCCAAAACGGGAGGUAAAUUUCUUCUAAGGCUAAAUAUUGGCGAGAGACCGAUAGCGAACAAGUACCGUGAGGGAAAGAUGAAAGGAACUUUGAAAAGAGAGUUAAAUAGUACGUGAAAUUGUCAAAAGGGAAGCGUUUAACACCAGUGUUGUUUUCUGAAAAUCAACCUCUGUUAGCUUUAUGCAUGUUUGUUUAGACCUAAUCAGCUAGUCUUUCAUGUUCUAUUGUUUGCAGUGGUGCACUUUUCAGUUUACAGGUCAACAUCAGUUUUUUUUACCGUAAAAAAGUUAAAGAAAGGUAGCUCAUGGCUCCGGUCGUGAGUGUUAUAGUCUUUUUCCUAUGCGGUAGGAGAGACUGAGGUCUGCAGUGUAGGCUAUUUGGCUAGAUACUCAGGUGCUAUGUGAUACCAUUUCAUAAACAACUUGUUGAUUAUGUUUUGUCUAUUGCAUACUCGCUUGUACUAUCAUACCUACGCUUAGGAUGUUGAGUAGCGACAUACGCAC
rnacentral:rRNA from 1 species